rnacentral:rRNA from 1 species
UACGUAGGGUGCAAGCGUUGUCCGGAAUUAUUGGGCGUAAAGAGCUCGUAGGCGGUCUGUCGCGUCGGCUGUGAAAACCCGGGGCUCAACCCCCGGGCGUGCAUUCGAUACUGCGCGGCUCGAGACAGGUAGGGGGAGAUCGGAAUUCCUGGUGUAGCGGUGAAAUGCGCAGAUAUCAGGAGGAACACCGGUGGCGAAGGCGGGUCUCUGGGCCGAUGACUGACGCUGAGGAGCGAAAGCGUGGGGAGCGAACAGG